CUCCGGCCGCGCGCCGCGGCGCAGGCGGGCUUCGGACAGCUAAGGGGGCGGCGCCUGCGGGAGGCGUUCCCGGCGGCCGCCCCGGGGUCCCGCGAGGCAGCCGCCCUCGGAGGACGCGGAGCGGCUGAGGCCGGACGGCGGGCCGCGGACUGCUCUUCCUUACGGCGGAGGCGGGGGUCAGCGGGCGGCCGGGCGGGGGAGGCCGAGGCGCUCCGCGUCGCCAGGUAACCGAGCGCCCGCUCUAUCCCCGCCCUUCCGCUCGGGCUGCCCUCGGCGCCGCCUGAGCCGCCGUGCGCGCUGCGCGGGCGCCGACUCCGCCGACGCCUGGGUCGGGGGCGGGGGGCGGGACCCGGCCGCGCGGGGACGGGCCGCCGCGGGCGUGCGGGGCCGCGGGGCCACACGCCGGGGCUCCUCGGCGCUCCGGCUCCGCUGAGGGCGCCCGCCCGGGGGCCUCCGGCGCGAGGCCCGCUUCCUGGGCAAGAUGGCGGCGCCCAGGCGUCUGUGAGCGCCGCGCUGAGGAGCCCCGCGAGGCCCCGAGCCCUCCACCCCGGGCGGUCUCGCGUUUCCCGGGAGCGGCAGGUCUGAUGAGACGGCUGCAGAAGCAGGAGAAUCAGCUGCUGGAAUAUGCAGGCCCCCUCCCAGCUGAGCACAUGGGUUCUUCAGCCCCUCUGUUUGGAAACUGUCUGCUUAAAUGUCUUAUCUUUCUAAUCUUGGCUUAAAGGUGACUUCUUCAGCCAGCCCUCCCCCCCUGCUUACCUAUAACUAAAAAUAGUGUCUCCAUUUGUAUCUUGGGGUUUCUCUUUAUCUCCUACUUAAAUCGUUGGUUUUACUCACUGCCAUUCCGGACAGCUGGCGCCGGUCCUGUCGCAUAGGUGGAGUUGAGCACACGUGUGUAAGGUGAGUGGAUGGAAGCUGCUGUGGGGGCUUCGGGAAACGGCCCUUAGUGCCAGCGCAGCUCUUGUCCAGGACACGUUCAGGGAAGAUGGAAGUGUUUCUGUCUGCCUCGUCCACUGUGGCAGCCGCCACCCCCAUGUGGCUCUUGAGCACUGGAAAUGUGACUCUUGCAACUAAGGAGCUGAAUUUUUAACUUUAGUUUUUACAUGGAAGUGUUAGUUGGUCGAAGUUGUGUCGGACUCUUUGUGACCCCAUGGACUGUAGCCCGCCAGCCUCCUCUGUCCGUGGGAUUUCCCAGGUGAGAAUACUGGAGGGGGUUGCCAUUUCCUUCUCCAGGGGAUCUUCCUGACCCAGGGACUGAACCCAGGUCUCCUGCAUUGCAGGGGGAUUCUUUACUGUCUGAGGCACCGGGGAAGCCCUGGUGUUUACGUAGCUGUAUAUAGAUUAGCUGCUACUAUAUUGGACACCUCAGUCUAGAGGAUGUGAUUUUGUUAGCUUCUAACCUUGAAAAACAUUACCAUUGACUACAAACCCGUUGAGCACAGGUAAUCUCACAGCCUUUGAGAAGGUCUGCUCCUGGCAGUGCGAGUGCAGCUCGUUUUACAGUGCGCGACAGGCGUGUUUUAUGGUCUGCUUGAGAAGCAGAAGAAGAUCCUGUGUCCUCAAUGGCCUUCCAUGACUUAGGAUUGUCGUUGCACUUUCCGCCCAUUCUUUAUUUUUUUAAAUUUUUAAUAUUUUAAUUGCAUUUUAUCCAUAGUCCGGAGCCCUUCUGGGCUUUAGUUUGUGGGAGGAUCCUUCAGGCACAAGGGCUGAGUUCUCUGCAUUCCAGCCUUCUGCGGCUAACCACCGUCAGCUGCUACUUACGUAAGAAUUGCUUUCUGACUACAUGGCAUGCACCUGACCUUGAAGGCCGAAAGCUUUUUAAGUGAGGAGUGGAAUUAAAAAGAAGGAGAAUUAGCAGAUUAAAUUUUAUAUGUUAGUAUUUUCCAAGUGACACUAGGGUUAGAAAAAGAAUUAUCAAGAUAAACUUUGAUAAUUACUGCAUUAGAGCCAUAAGAUUUACACUUUGUCUAUAUUGAUUUAUUUGUCUAUAUUAAACUUUUGUCUGUAUUGUCUGUAUUGAUGCUUUGUCUAUAUUGUCUUAGGUCUUGAUAUGAGAAAUAAAAAGAAUUAGUAGUUGCAUCUUUUACUUAUUAAAAAUAAGAUAUUUAAAAUUCAUUUUCAUGGUGGAUUUUGAAAAAUUGUGUUUAUAUAUCGAUGUAAUAAAGGUCAGCAUCUUAGCCAUUUUAACGUGUGCGGCUCAGUGGCGUUAGUGCGUUCACCAUCACUGCCAUCCUGUUGCUAGAACUUUUCAUCUUCCCAGACCCUGUUGAACCCUGACUGCCCCCUCUCCUCUCCCCUUGGCCCCUGGGAACAACUGUUUUACUUUUAUUUCUAUGAAUUUGAUGAGUUUUAAAAUUCUUUUCCAUAAAUUAUUGUCCACACUAAUAUGUAAUACUAAUAUCUCGUGUCUCCAGGAAUCACCUCGUUUAAGAUAACCUUGGCCUACCUGAUGCAUAGUUGCCUUACCUUGGGAAAUGGCAGACACUUCUCAUUAAGGACCCGAAAUUACCUGCUUUAGUCCCUGCCCCCAGCCAUCACUAACCUUAACAUGCUCACCUCGAGAAAGAUCAUCUUGCUCAUUUGAGAAAACAGUAACUCUAGAGAAUGACUUUUUAGUGACAGAUGGUAAGAUGGACUUCCUUGAAUAUGUUUUCAUGUGCUUGGGAUUCCAAACUUUUUACCAGUCUCCACUGAGAAAGGCAAAAAGAACCAAAAACAGUCACUUAGUAUUUUUAAUACCUCCCACCUUAGUAUAAUGCUAAGUAAGAAUUUACCUACAAUGCAGGAGACCUGGGUUCGAUCCUGGGUCAGGAAGAUCCCUGGAGGAGGGAAUGACAACCCACUCCAGUAUUCUGGCCUGGAGAAUCCCAUGGACAGAGGAGCCUUGUGUCCAUGGGAUCACAAAGCUGGACACGACCGAGUGACUAACGCACCGUAGUAUAACAUCAAUGUGACCACUGGACACAUCUGAAUUGACAGGGUCAGGAUGGCGUUUAGUCCCCUCGUGAGCACCAGGAAUCUGGGGGAUUUGAAGGGAAGCGUGUCCCUCACCAGAUACUUUUUAGUCGCUUGGUCUGACUCUUUGUGACCCUAUAGACCAUAACCUACCAGGCUCCUCUGUCCAUGGGAUUCUCCUGCGAGAAUACUGGAGAUUUAUUUGUCUAUAUUAAACUUUUGUCUGUAUUGUCUGUAUUGAUGCUUUGUCUAUAUUGUCUUAGGUCUUGAUAUGAGAAAUAAAAAGAAUUAGUAGUUGCAUCUUUUACUUAUUAAAAAUAAGAUAUUUAAAAUUCAUUUUCAUGGUGGAUUUUGAAAAAUUGUGUUUAUAUAUCGAUGUAAUAAAGGUCAGCAUCUUAGCCAUUUUAACGUAAAGCGGCUCAGUGGCGUUAGUGCGUUCACCAUCACUGCCAUCCUGUUGCUAGAACUUUUCAUCUUCCCAGACCCUGUUGAACCCUGACUGCCCCCUCUCCUCUCCCCUUGGCCCCUGGGAACAACUGUUUUACUUUUAUUUCUAUGAAUUUGAUGAGUUUUAAAAUUCUUUUCCAUAAAUUAUUGUCCACACUAAUAUGUAAUACUAAUAUCUACGUGUCUCCAGGAAUCACCUCGUUUAAGAUAACCUUGGCCUACCUGAUGCAUAGUUGCCUUACCUUGGGAAAUGGCAGACACUUCUCAUUAAGGACCCGAAAUUACCUGCUUUAGUCCCUGCCCCCAGCCAUCACUAACCUUAACAUGCUCACCUCGAAAGAUCAUCUUGCUCAUUUGAGAAAACAGUAACUCUAGAGAAUGACUUUUUAGUGACAGAUGGUAAGAUGGACUUCCUUGAAUAUGUUUUCAUGUGCUUGGGAUUCCAAACUUUUACCAGUCUCCACUGAGAAAGGCAAAAGAACCAAAACAGUCACUUAGUAUUUUUAAUACCUCCACCUUAGUAUAAUGCUAAGUAAGAAUUUACCUACAAUGCAGGAGACCUGGGUUCGAUCCCUGGGUCAGGAAGAUCCCCUGGAGGAGGGAAUGACAACCCACUCCAGUAUUCUGGCCUGGAGAAUCCCAUGGACAGAGGAGCCUUUGUGUCCAUGGGAUCCACAAAGCUGGACACGACCGAGUGACUAACGCACCGUAGUAUAACAUCAAUGUGACCACUGGACACAUCUGAAUUGACAGGGUCAGGAUGGCGUUUAGUCCCCUCGUGAGCACCAGGAAUCUGGGGAUUUGAAGGAAGCGUGUCCCUCACCAGAUACUUUUUAGUCGCUUGGUCUGACUGUGACCCUAUAGACCAUAACCUACCAGGCUCCUCUGUCCAUGGGAUUCUCCUGCGAGAAUACUGGAGUGGGUUGCCAUUUCCUUCUCCAGGGGAUCUGACCCAGGGACUGAACCCAUGUCUCACAUCUCCGGCAUUGGCAGGCGGGUUCUUUAGCACCAGCACCGCCUGGAAUGCCCAGAUCUGGGCACAGCACAUACGGUGCAUGAGAGGAGGCGACUGUUCCGAGCGGAAGGCUCUAAAGCCUGUUCAGUUGCCCUGGGAGAAUGCUGAGGGUUGUGUGGCUUGUGAGGGUGGGCAGGCGGGCUGGAUGGCGGCGACCCUGUAGAGACAGUUCCGAGGCCCUGCCGACGGACUGAAGGGGCGGGGGGAGGCCGGGAGUGGUCUCAGGUCCCCAGGUUGUAACCCACAUCGUGUGCCAUCAAGAUCGUUUAGUGAGUAUGCUUGUUCAUGCCUCGUGUUGUGCCUGUGCAAGAAGGGAGUCUUUAAUAUACUGCAGGUGGAAUUGUUGAAUUAAAUAUGUGCCUUUUAAAUGUCAAUAUGUUGUCAGACUUUCCUCUAUAGAUGUUUUACCGUUAAUGCCCGUUUCUUAGACCCUUGUAAUAUGGUAUCAACACGCUCUUCCCCAGUCUGUAGAUUUUCAAAAAUCUAAUUGCGUUUUAAUUUGCAUUUCUCUGAGUUUGCACAUUGUUCUAUAGCUUUCAGAGGCAUUUCCGAUUCCUUUCAGGGCACUUGGUGGCACUCUCUGAUUGCCAUUUCUCUUCUCGGAAGUUGGACUUUCUGGCCUUCUUUCAGGGUUUCUCACAUCACGAUCCCAGAGUUUGGGUGGAUAUAUUGGGAUCUUAUUAACGCAGUCGUUAUCUAUUCCUAUUUUAAGAGCUUGUCUUCAUGAAGAGGGAGUGUCGUGUUUCUGCAGGUGCCUUCAGAG
ensembl:lncRNA